rnacentral:rRNA from 1 species
GUGAAGCGGGAAAAGCUCAAAUUUAAAAUCUGGCAGUCUUUGGCUGUCCGAAUUGUAUUCUGGAGAAGCGUUUUCCGCGCUGGACCGUGUACAAGUCUCUUGGAAUAGAGCGUCAUAGAGGGUGAGAAUCCCGUCUUUGACACGGACUACCAGUGCUUUGUGAUGCGCUCUCAAAGAGUCGAGUUGUUUGGGAAUGCAGCUCAAAAUGGGUGGUGAAUUCCAUCUAAAGCUAAAUAUUGGCGAGAGACCGAUAGCGAACAAGUACCGUGAGGGAAAGAUGAAAAGCACUUUGGAAAGAGAGUUAAACAGUACGUGAAAUUGCUGAAAGGGAAACGCUUGAAGUCAGUCGCGUCAUCCAGAACUCAGCCUGGCUUUUGCUUGGUGUAUUUUCUGGUUGACGGGCCAGCAUCAGUUUUGACCGCUGGAAAAAGGCCAUGAGAAUGUGGCACCUUCGGGUGUGUUAUAGCCUGUGGUCAUAUACAGCGGUUGGGACUGAGGACCGCAGCACGCCUUUAUGGUUGGGGUUCGCCCACAUUCGUGCUUAGGAUGCUGGCGUAAUGGCUUUAAACGACCCGUCUUGAAACACGGACCAAGGAGUCUAACAUGCCUGCGAGUGUUUGGGUGGAAAACCCGAGCGCGUAAUGAAAGUGAAAGUUGGGAUCCCUGUCGUGGGGAGCACCGACGCCCGGACCAGACCUUUUGUGACGGAUCCGCGGUAGAGCAUGUAUGUUGGGACCCGAAAGAUGGUGAACUAUGCCUGAAUAGGGUGAAGCCAGAGGAAACUCUGGUGGAGGCUCGUAGCGAUUCUGACGUGCAAAUCGAUCGUCAAAUUUGGGUAUAGGGGCGAAAGACUAAUCGAACCAUCUAGUAGCUGGUUCCUGCCGAAGUUUCCCUCAGGAUAGCAGAAACUCAUGUCAGAUUUAUGUGGUAAAGCGAAUGAUUAGAGGCCUUGGGGUUGAAACAACCUUAACCUAUUCUCAAACUUUAAAUAUGUAAGAACGAGCCGUCUCUUAAUUGGACCGCUCGGCGAUUGAGAGUUUCUAGUGGGCCAUUUUUGGUAAGCAGAACUGGCGAUGCGGGAUGAACCGAACGCGAGGUUAAGGUGCCGGAAUGCACGCUCAUCAG